rnacentral:rRNA from 1 species
GAUGAACGCUGGCGGCGUGCCUAACACAUGCCAGUCGAGCGAUUUACUUCGGUAAAGAGCGGCGGACGGGUGAGUAACGCGUGGGUAACCUGCCCUGUACACACUGAUAACAUACCGAAAGGUAUGCUAAUACGAGAUAAUAUGCUUUUAUCGCAUGGUAGAAGUAUCAAAGCUUUUGCGGUACAGGAUGGACCCGCGUCUGAUUAGCUAGUUGGUGAGGUAACGGCUCACCAAGGCGACGAUCAGUAGCCGACCUGAGAGGGUGAUCGGCCACAUUGGAACUGAGACACGGUCCAAACUCCUACGGGAGGGAGCAGUGGGGAAUAUUGCACAAUGGGCGAAAGCCUGAUGCAGCAACGCCGCGUGAGCGAUGAAGGCCUUCGGGUCGUAAAGCUCUGUCCUCAAGGAAGAUAAUGACGGUACUUGAGGAGGAAGCCCCGGCUAACUACGUGC